AUUGAACGCUGGCGGCAUGCCUUACACAUGCAAGUCGAACGGUAACGCGGGGCAACCUGGCGACGAGUGGCGAACGGGUGAGUAAUGCAUCGGAACGUGCCCAGUAGUGGGGGAUAGACCGGCGAAAGCCGGAUUAAUACCGCAUACGACCUACGGGUGAAAGCGGGGGACCGUAGGGCCUCGCGCUAUUGGAGCGGCCGAUGUCAGAUUAGGUUGUUGGUGGGGUAAAAGCCUACCAAGCCGACGAUCUGUAGCUGGUCUGAGAGGACGACCAGCCACACUGGGACUGAGACACGGCCCAGACUCCUACGGGAGGCAGCAGUGGGGAAUUUUGGACAAUGGGGGCAACCCUGAUCCAGCCAUGCCGCGUGCGGGAAGAAGGCCUUCGGGUUGUAAACCGCUUUUGUCAGGGAAGAAACGCUCUGGGCUAAUACCCCGGGGUAAUGACGGUACCUGAAGAAUAAGCACCGGCUAACUACGUGCCAGCCGCCGCCGUAAGAC
rnacentral:rRNA from 1 species